rnacentral:rRNA from 1 species
GUUGUGGAUGAACGGACAAAGCUUCUAGUUCAGGCAGCAUCGCUGAUAGCUGUGGUUCAAGCCUGGAUCCUGUUGGUCCAUAAUAGAGUUGUUCGUCGGAAUGAGAGACCUUGCAUCCGGUAUGGUCCGAUGUUAAUCCGAGAUCAAGAGAGGAUAGUGAAUCUGAACUACAUCUACAACUGCAACGACACAUAGGCUCUGUGGAUGCUUCGAAUGAAAAGAGCACCUUUCGCCAGGCUUGUGCAGACGUUUAGGAGCAGGGGGCUGCUAGAAGAUAGCAUCCACACCACUGUGGAAGAGUAAGUCGCCAUGUUCCUCCAUGUUGUUGGUCAUAACCAGAGAUUCAGGGUUGUACACAACACCUUGAGGAGAUCAAUGGAGACCAUCUCCAGGUACUUCAAGCAAGUGUUGUAUGCUGUUGGGGAGCUCAGAGGAGAGAUGACCGAGUCACCAACUGGCCGGACUCCUACCAAGAUUCGCACUAGCCCAAGAUGGUAUCCAUACUUCAAGGUGAGCACUUGA